UUGCUCUGGCAGCACAUAUACCAAAAUUGGAGCAAUACAGAGAUUAGCAUGGCCCCGGCACAAGGAUGGGUGAAAAUAUGGAAUGUGAAGUGUUCCAUAUUUUA
rnacentral:snRNA from 1 species